rnacentral:rRNA from 1 species
GAUGAACGCUGGCGGCGUGCCUAAUACAUGCAAGUCGAGCGAACGGACGAGAAGCUUGCUUCUCUGAUGUUAGCGGCGGACGGGUGAGUAACACGUGGAUAACCUACCUAUAAGACUGGGAUAACUUCGGGAAACCGGAGCUAAUACCGGAUAAUAUUUUGAACCGCAUGGUUCAAAAGUGAAAGACGGUCUUGCUGUCACUUAUAGAUGGAUCCGCGCUGCAUUAGCUAGCUGGUAAGGUAACGGCUUACCAAGGCAACGAUGCAUAGCCGACCUGAGAGGGUGAUCGGCCACACUGGAACUGAGACACGGUCCAGACUCCUACGGGAGGCAGCAGUAGGGAAUCUUCCGCAAUGGGCGAAAGCCUGACGGAGCAACGCCGCGUGAGUGAUGAAGGUCUUCGGAUCGUAAAACUCUGUUAUUAGGGAAGAACAUAUGUGUAAGUAACUGUGCACAUCUUGACGGUACCUAAUCAGAAAGCCACGGCUAACUACGUGCCAGCAGCCGCGGUAAUACGUAAGUGGCAAGCGUUAUCCGGAAUUAUUGGGCGUAAAGCGCGCGUAGGCGGUUUUUUAAGUCUGAUGUGAAAGCCCACGGCUCAACCGUGGAGGGUCAUUGGAAACUGGAAAACUUGAGUGCAGAAGAGGAAAGUGGAAUUCCAUGUGUAGCGGUGAAAUGCGCAGAGAUAUGGAGGAACACCAGUGGCGAAGGCGACUUUCUGGUCUGUAACUGACGCUGAUGUGCGAAAGCGUGGGGAUCAAACAGGAUUAGAUACCCUGGUAGUCCACGCCGUAAACGAUGAGUGCUAAGUGUUAGGGGGUUUCCGCCCCUUAGUGCUGCAGCUAACGCAUUAAGCACUCCGCCUGGGGAGUACGACCGCAAGGUUGAAACUCAAAGGAAUUGACGGGGACCCGCACAAGCGGUGGAGCAUGUGGUUUAAUUCGAAGCAACGCGAAGAACCUUACCAAAUCUUGACAUCCUUUGACAACUCUAGAGAUAGAGCUUUCCCCUUCGGGGGACAAAGUGACAGGUGGUGCAUGGUUGUCGUCAGCUCGUGUCGUGAGAUGUUGGGUUAAGUCCCGCAACGAGCGCAACCCUUAAGCUUAGUUGCCAUCAUUAAGUUGGGCACUCUAAGUUGACUGCCGGUGACAAACCGGAGGAAGGUGGGGAUGACGUCAAAUCAUCAUGCCCCUUAUGAUUUGGGCUACACACGUGCUACAAUGGACAAUACAAAGGGCAGCGAAACCGUGAGGUCAAGCAAAUCCCAUAAAGUUGUUCUCAGUUCGGAUUGUAGUCUGCAACUCGACUACAUGAAGCUGGAAUCGCUAGUAAUCGUAGAUCAGCAUGCUACGGUGAAUACGUUCCCGGGUCU